rnacentral:rRNA from 1 species
CGUUAGCGGCGGACGGGUGAGUAACACGUGGGUAACCUACCUAUAAGACUGGGAUAACUCCGGGAAACCGGGGCUAAUACCGGAUAACACAUGAAACCGCAUGGUUUCAUGAUGAAAGACGGUUUUGCUGUCACUUAUAGAUGGACCCGCGGUGUAUUAGCUAGUUGGUAAGUAUAGGCUUACCAAGGCAACGAUACGUAGCCGACCUGAGAGGGUGAUCGGCCACACUGGAACUGAGACACGGUCCAG